GCCAUAAGCUCAGUGGAUUUAGAGCACUGGUCUUGUAAACUUUCAGGGGUCGUAGGUUCAAAUCCUCACUGGUGGCG